rnacentral:tRNA from 1 species
GGAAACGUGGCCGAGCGAUUUAAGGCACCGGUCUUGAAAACCGGCGGCGGGUAACUGUCCGUGAGUUCGAAUUUCACCGUUUCCGCCA